UACAGAGGUCCCAAGCGUUGUUCGGAUUCACUGGGCGUAAAGGGUGCGCAGGUGGGCUGGUAAGUUCGAUGUGAAAGCCCCGGGCUUAACCCGGGAAAGGCAUUGGAUACUACUGGUCUGGAGGAUUGGAGGGGGGACUGGAAUUCUUGGUGGUAGCAGUGAAAUGCGUAGAUAUCAAGAGGAACACCAGUGGCGAAGGCGAGUCCCUGGACAAUACCUGACACUGAGGCACGAAAGCCAAGGGAGCAAACAGG
rnacentral:rRNA from 1 species